CUCCACCAGACACCUCAGCCGAACUCUGGCCGAUAGACCUGGACCCCCUGGCAGGCCGCAGCAACAGCCAUGACUCUGCUCCACCUCCUGCGACGGAUUCCACGCGGCCCCAUCACUCCCUGGCAGGCCAUAAUAAUGGCCACGAUCCUGCUCCACUUCCUGCAACGGAUACCGCACGACUCUUCCAUUCUCUGGCAAGUCACGACAACGGACGCCGCUCCGCUCCCCGUGGCAGACUCCACGUGGCACGCCCCGGUGA
rnacentral:lncRNA from 1 species